AUGCGUUUGAAAGGCUUUUCUGAAAGACUCGCGUUCAGAUGUGAACUAGCGCUGUGUUUAAAAACGCUGAUAAAAAUCCACGCGGGAAAAGGAGCGGUGAGCAAGUUUUGCAGCACGCUGGGUGCCUUGAGGAUCUCUACCUUAAGCAACGCACAAAUUCAGGUCUCAGAGGUUAGUCUUAUUAUUCUAGGCACUUCUUCAAAUCUUCAGUUGUUUUUUACUUGCUUUUUCUUCAUAAUCAGCAGCUGUGGUUUUUGGACAUCUGCUGGGGAGGUGGUCCAAGGGGGUCUUCUGAUGUCUCUCUGGUGUCCCAUCUUUCUCUUAAAACAUCUUUUUCCAUCAGCAGUUUGUUUAAGCAAGCAUAUAUUUUGUUAGUCAGCAUAUAGUUUGCAAAAGCUUUCUUUCAGUCAUUUCACAACCUAAAGCUAACCUGUCUAAAAAUACCUUCAUAGGCUCUUUCCUCAGUUAUUACAAAACUCAAUGUUAAGAUGUUUCAAAAUGCUUUUGUAGAGCUUUUUAGCUCAUGUUUGUCCUACUUCCCUUUUUUAAGUGAUUACAAAGUUUUCUUCAAACUAAUUUAUAGUUUAUACAAAGGAUAGUUUAAACUACGAGGUAGCUUAAAGCUUGAAAUUUUGUUGUUAGAACAAGCCGCUAGGUAAAAGCAUAUUGUUACAUAAUUACUUUGUUAAACUCUGCCUUCUCCUCGGCGUGUUCCCGUUCCUAUUUCUGCUGCUCGAAUGAUCCCUUCGCUUCUCUCUGCCCAGACCCUCUCCGGUGUGGGCAGGAGGGAGGGGGCUUCCCUCGCUUCACCGUGUUGCUGCUGUCCCCCGGGAGGGCACAGCGCUGUGGUAGGUAAGCACACCAUCAAAACACUGGGGUUUCCUCCGAGGCCACAUUUCCACGUGGCAGUGACUGGGACUCAUUGGUGUGCGACAAGGAACCAAACCCACCUGCAUGCUCUCCGAUUUCUCAGUUUCUGAGCUUCACAGAGAAAUUCCCCCGAAUGGAUUCACCUCCCUCUGAGACCUCUGCGACUCCCCAACAGCUCCCACCUAGUCUCUGCUCCAUCUCCAGUCCCGUCUGCUGGCAUUCAGGGAAUACGAGCAGCUUGUAACAGGAGUGACGAAUGUGGGGUUCUCUACCUUCCUGGUGGGACCAAGUGUACCAAAUUUCUCGCGUUGCCUUUUUAGAAGGCUCUUGUGCCUUGCCCGAGGUGAUGAUUCUGCAUCCCUUGGGGUGCCAGGGGUUUAAACCUGGCGAUUCCUGAGCCCGAGCCUGGGUCUGCCCAAAACUCCGGGGUUACGAGGCCAUCUAGUGAUCUGUGAGCUCGUUACAAUUAAAAUGUACUCUCCAGGGUCGGAAAGCUGCUUGUAAACCAGGAUCUCUUAUUUAAAUGCGUGUGAUCCGCAGUCUCCCGAGAGAAGGUGACCCCUGCGUGCCGGGCUGCAGAGUGACCAGGAUCCAGACAGAAGCUGGUGUCCUCCUGACACACGAAGGAGCCUGGAAUCCACAGACAUGUUAAACUACAGGAAUACUUGCAUGCCUUUUACUCUUCUGAAGCAGGACCCACAUUCAGUCUUUUUAGAAAUGAUCCCUCGAACUGUAUCAACAAUUUGUGGUUUAAGCUCAAGGAAGGGUGUCAUUUCUUGGAGCCCCUAGGGGAAUGGUGAAGUUUCAAAGGUCUUUCCGCAGCUUUUGCUGGUCCUCUCCAAGAUGAGAGAUAUUGAAAACAUUCAUAGCACCCAAAAUGAUGAAUGAAACAUGCAAUAUUUUGUGAAAUAAAAAUUGUGAAUAAAACA
rnacentral:lncRNA from 1 species